rnacentral:tRNA from 2 species
UCAUUAAGAAGCUAUGAAUCAGCAUUAGCCUUUUAAGCUAAAGAAAGAGGGGCCCCUCCCCUCCUUAAUGGU